rnacentral:lncRNA from 1 species
GGAGCUCUCAGCUGGCAGAACAACUAUUGUGAGAUUGGCCUACUUUCACAAGUGAGCAGCAAGCAGCCUUGGCAUUGCAGAGGGAACUGCAGCAGAACUCAAAGCAGGACCAAAGCAUCUCAACCCACCUCCAUUUUGGCAAACAAAGCAGCUACCAGCCAUAUAACUUCAUCUGCAUAGUGCUUCAGUCCAGCUCCGGAUGAGGAUGGGGUCUCAAGAUGGGUGGCAAUACAAGGAAUCAGACAUGGGACACUUAUCCAGCAGGGCUGUGAGAACCAAGCUCCCUUGAAACCAGUGCAAGGCAGCUCACUCACAGUGCUGUCUUCUCCCUCCACCCAUGGAUCCGGAGCACCAUGGCUGCUCUCUUUCCUCCUCUGGGUUAUUUGGACAGCUCAAGAAGGAAGAGCAAGUGUGACAUUCAAUUCAGAUCAAUGGACAGGCAUGGCCCACAAGUCUGACUGCAGAAAUCUCAGCGAAGGAGCCAAGAGCUGCUGUUGGCCCUGUUCUACACUACUGAAGGAAAGUAUUAUACAGAGCUAUUCCAGAGUUCCAUAAAAGAUGGUUUCUUCAUUGUUCACCCUUGGAUAAGUGGGGAAUUGACUCAAGAGGGGCAGUAAACUCUUAAAUGUUCAUAUAUACAUAAUGGAAGAGUGCCAUUAGGGCCCAAAUAUCAAAGAUAAAUGUUUUGUGUUGUUGCUCUUUGUUGGUUUGAGACAGAGUCUCACCAUGUAGCCCUGGCUGGCCUAUAACGUCACAAAUCAGGCUGGCUUUGAACUCACUGAGAUCCUUCUGCCCGACUCUGAGUUUAAAGAUGUUUGCCACCAUGCCCAGCUUGCCAAGGAUUUUUUUUUUCAUUUGUAUUCAUAGAAUUGAUUGACACGGACAUCAGCUCUUUGCCUGAAUGAUUCAGGGCAAAGGCUGUAGAGACAGCUCAUCCAGCAGGAAGGCAGAAUCUCCAUGCUGUAGGAAGAUUAUGGCAGGCAAGUUCUUGAAGAACAACAACAAUGACAAAAAC